rnacentral:lncRNA from 1 species
GGAAAACCAGGGCACAAUUACAACUGGGUUCAAGCAAACCCCAAACCCAACAUAACAAAGAGCUGAGUGUCUGGUGUCUGGGCCUUACUCACAAUUUUCUGAGCUCCGAAGGCCUGCAUAGCUCCACUUCUUGGCUCUGCCAUUCAGGGAACACAGAGAUCCUGCCAAUCCCAGCAUGUUCCCUGGAACUGAGGUUCUACCUUCCCUAGCCGAUGUCCUUUUCCAGCAUCUCUAAGUGCCCAGCCUCAGCUGAUCUCCAUAAGCCUCCUCCUUUACAGCUCUGCUGCCAUGAAAACCAGGAACAUGAGGAGCCUUGCCUACAUUAUUAACUUCUGCUAGCUUGAGAUACAGGCUUGACUCCCUGUGAACUAAAAUGUGGGGAGAGUGUAAGUUACUAUGAAGGGGGCCUGUGCUCAUUGGGUUUUGUCAGCAUGAUGCAAUCUAUCUGGGAAGAAGGAAUCUCAGGAAUUUGGCCUGUGAGACAUUUUCUUAAUUAAUGAUUGGUGUGGGGGGCCCGACCCACUGUGGGCAGAUGGUCUUGGGUGUAUAAGAACAAGUGAUAAAGAGGCAGACCAGUAAGCAGUACUCCUUCGGGGCCUUGCUUCAGUUCCUGUCCUGAUUUCCCUUAAAGGCUGACUAUAAAUUAUAAGAUGAAAUUAACCCUUUUCUCCCCAGGUUGUUUUUUAUUGUGAUGCUUAUCACAACAAUAGACAGCAAAAUAGGGCACCUACAUCUAGUUAACCAGUUAAAAGACACAAUGGAGUGUUUGAUGGCAGAUGGCCAUCAUUUUCAUCCUAUAAUUAAUGGGCCACUAAAAGAAAACUCCAGUGCCAGGUGUGAGAUACCUCCAUGGGAGUUAUUGGUCAGGGAGGCUCCAAAGACCUCUCCCCCAAAUGCAGGCUUUUGUAAUUUUACUUGAUUGUCCUCUGGAAUUAGAUGAGAAGAUCCUAUUGCCAGAAAUACCAGACAUCUUGAAUACAAAAUACAAGUAAAUAAAUGAGAUAGAGAUUUCCUUUCUGUUAGAUGGCUUUCAAAGUGUCCAAUGGUAAUAUGUAGCCUGCAGGCAGGGAGGGUCUCUGGGAGGCAGAAACUAUUGUACCCAGUUCUGAACACUGCAGACUACAGUAACCACUUGUCUGGCAAAUGUGCCCAUUGGUGCUGUAGUGGCACAAUUAUUAUGGUGAUAAUUAACUACCCCCUGAUUUGACCCUGAUUACGACCUAUACCAUGAGAGGGAAUCCAUGAUUCUAGACUGUAAACCCCGUCAAGAACUC